GAGCGUAUAGCUCAGUGGUAGAGUGCGUGCUUAGCAUGCAUGAGGUCCAGGGUUCAAUCCUCAGUACCUCCA
rnacentral:tRNA from 1 species